AAUUAUGAAUAAUAAUAAUAAUAAGGACCACUCCGCUGAAGCUGAAGCUGAAGCAUGGAUCAAGAUUGGAGACAGAAAUAGAGGUUUUCUGAGGGUCUUUCGGGUAUUUCACUAUAAACGAAGGGGUAUAGUUGGAAACAUGCCCCACAUAAAAUCAGGGAAUUCGCCUUCGCCUCAUUUUCUCCCUUCCUGACUCUCUCUCCUCUAUUUCUUCUCUUCCCUCUCUCUUCUGAUUUUUUUUCUUUUUUUUUGUAAUCUGAACGGUCCUUUUCUUUUAUCGCUCCGUCGUCAUCGCCGCCGCUCGCCGGGUGGCGCCACUGCUCAAACCGCCGUCCGUACGCCGAUCCAAGCAGUGCCCUCAGCCAAAUUCUUCCCGUAAAAGAGGAAAAAAAAAGGGGAAAAAAUAUAAAAUCUUAUUGGACGAUUUUACCCCUUAGAAUAUCAACUUUCUACGGUUCUGCCACCGAGGAAUCCGAGUGUUGGUUGGCGCCUAGCUUACGUGGCAUUUAACAAAGGGCCAAGAAGAAAAAAAGCCAAAAUGAGUUUCCAUUUCCACAGCCAUGGGCUGUUAUCGGCUGGGCCGUCCAGAAAGCGUAAGGAGCCAUCCUCGCCGGCGGCUCCUAAAGCUGGUGAGCCAUCGGUUUUAUCGAACCGGAUUCUAGCCGGGUACAUGGCUUAUGAGUUUCUAACAAAAGGGACUUUGUUGGGCCGGAAGUUCGACCCGGCUCGAGACGAAGCAAGCCCAUCCGCCGCCGCCACACAGUGGAAGAAGCCAAAGUCGGAAGCCGCACCGCCGGAGAUCUUGAAGAAAGAGAAUCAGAUUCAGAGUUACGCUGAGGUGGCAACCAUCCUGAAGACUACUGGGGCCCACAUAUACGGAAUCGUUAACCCGACCCAACUGGGUCGGUGGCUUCAAAAGUGACCCAACAAAAAAAACACUGUCCACAUGGCGAAACCCCAUUGGUCAGUGCUAGCGUGACGUUUUGUCCACGUCAUAUUUGACCGAGUCUUCGAGCUUUCUUGAACUUUUAAAAGACACGGAGCUCUCACUGAAAACUCCCGUCCCAUGAUUUUCCGUUUGCGGCUGCCGGAAAAAUCAGAGUAUCGGUGGUAGAUUAAUUAGUUUUGUUGGAUGGAAUUUCUCUCUGUUGGGUUCUGUUUCUUUUUGUUGUGUUUGUUGAAAAUCAAUGAGGAUAUAUAUAUGAAAUGAUUAUAAUUAUGAGCUGUGUGCUGUAAUUAUAUUAUUUACA